CUAUGGAAGCUUGCUUCCACUGAGAAGAUAGUGGCGGACGGGUGAGUAACACGUGGGUAACCUGCCCAUAAGAGGGGGAUAACAUCCGGAAACGGGUGCUAAUACCGCAUAGUUUUCUUGAUCGCAUGAUCGAGAAAGGAAAGACGGCCUUUGUGCUGUCGCUUAUGGAUGGACCCGCGGCGUAUUAGUUAGUUGGUGAGGUAAUGGCUCACCAAGACGAUGAUACGUAGCCGACCUGAGAGGGUGAUCGGCCACAUUGGGACUGAGACACGGCCCAAACUCCUACGGGAGGCAGCAGUAGGGAAUCUUCCGCAAUGGACGAAAGUCUGACGGAGCAACGCCGCGUGAGUGAAGAAGGUUUUCGGAAUCGUAAAACUCUGUUGUCAGAGAAGAACAAGUUGGAGAGUAACUGCUCCAGCCUUGACGGUAUCUGACCAGAAAGCCACGGCUAACUACGUGCCAGCAGCAGC
rnacentral:rRNA from 1 species